CUCUCCUCAGUUUACAUCUUGUUGGUACCUUUCUAGCCUUAGACAAAUGAUCACCAUGUUAGCCUUAGACCAAGAAGCUGGCUAGUCCUUUCUGUGAAGCUAAUACAAUGGUCAUUUCCAGACAAACUUAAAGGAAACACUAAGGCUGCUUCAAAGAUUAUCUGAUUCCUUUAAAAUAUAUGUCUAUAUACACAGACAUGCUCUUUUUUUAAGUGCUUACAUUUUAAUAGAGAUGAAUCAGUUUUGGAAUCUAAGCUGUUUGCCAAGCUGAAGCUACAGGUUGUGAAAUAAUUUUUAACUUUUGGAAUCACACUGCCUACUGUUACUCUAAAUAGAAAUAUAGGGUUUUUUUAAUGUGAAUUUUUGCCUAUCUUUAAACAUUUCAAUGUCAGCCUUUGUUAACCUUAAAUACACUGAAUUGAAUCUACAAAAGUGAACCAUCUCAGACCUUUACUUAUACUACAACUUUUGUUUUCUGGUG
rnacentral:lncRNA from 1 species